AACGCGAAGAACCUUACCAGCUUUUGACAUGUCCUGGACGGAUUGCAGAGAUGCGAUCUUCCCUUCGGGGCCGGGAACACAGGUGCUGCAUGGCUGUCGUCAGCUCGUGUCGUGAGAUGUUGGGUUAAGUCCCGCAACGAGCGCAACCCUCGCCCUUAGUUGCCAUCAUUCAGUUGGGCACUCCAGGGGGACUGCCGGUGAUAAGCCGGAGGAAGGUGGGGAUGACGUCAAGUCCUCAUGGCCCUUACAGGCUGGGCUACACACGUGCUACAAUGGCGGUGACAGCGGGAGGCGAAGGGGCGACCCUUAGCAAAUCUCGAAAAGCCGUCUCAGUUCGGAUUGCACUCUGCAACUCGAGUGCAUGAAGUUGGAAUCGCUAGUAAUCGCGGAUCAGCACGCCGCGGUGAAUACGUUCCCGGGCCUUGUACACACCGGUACUA
rnacentral:rRNA from 1 species